UUGUCUCAAAGAUUAAGCCAUGCAUGUCUCAGUACAAGCCAAAUUAAGGUGAAACCGCGAAAGGCUCAUUAAAUCAGUUAUGGUUCCUUAGAUCGUACCAACAUUUACUUGGAUAACUGUGGUAAUUCUAGAGCUAAUACAUGCAAACAGAGCUCCGACCGGAGACGGAAGGAGCGCUUUUAUUAGAUCAAAACCAAUCGGCGGCGGGUUCGCUCGCGGGCUCGUCGUCGUUCGCAUUGACGAAUUUGAAUAACUUUCUGCUGAUCGCACGGUCUCGCACCGGCGACGCAUCUUUCAAAUGUCUGCCUUAUCAACUGUCGAUGGUAGGUUCUGUGCCUACCAUGGUUGUAACGGGUAACGGGGAAUCAGGGUUCGAUUCCGGAGAGGGAGCCUGAGAAACGGCUACCACAUCCAAGGAAGGCAGCAGGCGCGCAAAUUACCCACUCCCGGCACGGGGAGGUAGUGACGAAAAAUAACGAUACGGGACUCAUCCGAGGCCCCGUAAUCGGAAUGAGAACAAUUUAAAUCCUUUAACGAGGAUCAAUUGGAGGGCAAGUCUGGUGCCAGCAGCCGCGGUAAUUCCAGCUCCAAUAGCGUAUAUUAAAGUUGUUGCGGUUAAAAAGCUCGUAGUCGAAUCUGUGUCCCGCGCCGCCGGUUCGUCGCUCGCGGCGUUUAACUGGCGUGUCCGCGGGACGUCCUGCCGGUGGGCUUAGCCCUUUUGCGAGGGCGGCCCAAUUAUAAUCCCGCCGCGGUGCUCUUCACCGAGUGUCGAGGCGGGCCGGCACGUUUACUUUGAACAAAUUAGAGUGCUUAAAGCAGGCUAAAACUUUGCCUGAAUACUUCGUGCAUGGAAUAAUGGAAUAGGACCUCGGUUCUAUUUUGUUGGUUUUCGGAACCCCGAGGUAAUGAUUAAUAGGAACGGAUGGGGGCAUUCGUAUUGCGACGUUAGAGGUGAAAUUCUUGGAUCGUCGCAAGACGGACAGAAGCGAAAGCAUUUC
rnacentral:rRNA from 1 species